rnacentral:tRNA from 1 species
CACCCGCUAGCUCAGUUGGUAGAGCACAACACUUUUAAUGUUGGGGUCGAAGGUUCGAACCCUUCGCGGGUGACCA